ACUAAAAUUAAACUAAAUAUUUACGCUAAAAAUGUAUAAAAUCUUGGGAAGGGUCAAAAAUUACAUGUCUACAGUAGUACUACCUAGCCUCCUUGCCUUGGCAUGCACAAGAUCUCUAUCACUAUUUCUCACACAAAAGGCAGCAGAGCUUGGGCUUGGGUUUCCCCUGGAGGCUUCAUCAGUAUUACACUUGAACCAUCCUUCUUGAGUGAAAUGUUAUUGCACCACCUUGCAUCCCAAAACUACUCUGCACCCUUCAAAGAACUGAAUCAAAUCUGGCCAAAGAACAGUCUGCAUUCCACCACUAAAAGACAACUUGAUGAACCUGUACAAAAGGACCACGCGAACCUACAACAGACACAAAGUAAUUCUGUGCUCUGCUAGAAAAAGAACCUAUAUGAAGUAAGUGAGGAAUUAUUUCCUUUUGAAACUGAACGCAACAAGUGAAAAUGCUCUAGCUUUUGCUUUUACAAGUAUUAUGUGCACUAAUAUGGGGACAGCCAAACUUUAUAUGUGCCAUUUAGGUUUUUAAUAUUUACUCGGUUCUGGACUUGAAUUUCCUCUACUCUAGCCGAGUGCAUAGAGGCAAGAAUUAUAUCGCUGCAGGAUUCAGAAAAUAGCUGGCCACAGAAAAAAGCUGAAAAUUCCAGCUGCAAAAUGAGGGUUUACCAAGUACAGAGGAUAUUAAGGUCAUUUGCAAGAUCAUUGAAGAAUACUUGGAGAGUGGUACAUUCGUUUCCUGCACUACCUUUGUUACAUCUUCUCCUAAGAUGAAUAAGAACUAUUGGUCGUAUCUAAUGUUAUUAGUGAACUCAACCUAGGGGUUAACUUAUAUUAGAAUAAUUUCAUAAUAAAUUUAAAAAUCAUAAAAACUGAUAUGUACAAUAUUUACUACUUAAAGCAUUGUCUUGAUUGGAACAUUUUGUGCUUCUAAGGUCAUGUGAAAAAGGAUUUAAUACUCCACAUAUAUUCUUUUCUGGUGGGAAAGUUUCAGAAGUAAAGCAGAAUAUAAAAAAAGUUAUUCAACUGGGAGUCAUUGUUGCUUUUUCUCUCAGAGAUAUACAACUCAAUUUUUAGUAUCUUUGUCUGCAGCUAUAUUUGAAAUAUUUGGAUUGAACAUAUGAUGAUUGAAUAGUGCACAACUAUCUUGAUCUAGAUUGAAUGUGCUACAAUAUAGUUAACCAACUUGUUUAUGUAGUGAAGAAAUUAGUUCAUUAAGUUCUUGAGCUGCAGAAGGAUACCCCUCAUAUACUAUAUUUUAAAGUAUUAGCAUCUAACUGUCUAUUAAAAGAAUUAUUGAGUAACGGUAAAAGAUUUAACAAUAACCUUAGAAAACAUGCAUUAUUUCAGUUUAUGUCAUGGUUAUUCUUGCCUAACCGUGUAGUCCAGAGCCCAGAGGUACUAAGUAGGUACUAAUCAUGGCACCACUAAGGUUUAAAUGUUUAUAACUGAUUCUUUCGAAUUUAACUUAAAUUACUGGGUUUGCUUCUCUUAGGAUUUCUUAAAUGAUGAUAGUUCGCCUUCUUUGACUUUGUUCUGCUCUUUGGAAAAAAAACUUAAAAAGUUUUUCAUAAUUUGUCAAUAUGUUGCAAGUAAUUGAAAAUUAGUGUAGUAGUAGUAAUACUCAAUAUAGUAGCUGUCUUUACAAUUCAAUUAUUCAUGAUAUGUCCAACUAUAUUUUUAUUUAGGUAUUUGCUUGAUUAGUGGAGAAGAAACUUCAUUGAUCUUUUGGGGUAAAGUUGAUUUGCUUGAAAAGCUAUAUUAUCUCUGUCAGUGUGUUACGUUUCGCUUCUCAUGUUUGAGCAGAGAUAAAUAUCUCUGCUAAUGUGAUACAUUUUGCUUCUGCUUAAUUUUAUUUAGCUACUUGCUUGAUUAGUGGAGAAAAACUUCCAUUCUUUUUCGAGUAAAGUUGAUAUUUGAGCAACUAUUAUAUGCUAAUGUGAUACAUUUCUCUUUUCCUUUUUGCUUUUGUGAAUCAGUUUGAAAAGUUUCAGCAGCAAGAAUCUUUAACUACAGCUAGCUUUUGAGUUUACAACAUGUACAUACAUCUUUUGAUGAACCACCAUGCUCGUGGAACAAGGGCAACUCAAAUUAUAACUUUCCACAUUUUUUUCAUUUAUUGGCAUCUCUCAUUAUCUUUUUUUCCUUGUAUAAAUUGUAGAAUAUAUAAGAUCAUGGACUCAAAUUUUAUCCUAAUGUUCUAUUUUGCACAUUUA